UACAGAGGUCUCAAGCGUUGUUCGGAUUCAUUGGGCGUAAAGGGUGCGUAGGUGGCGCCGUAAGUCGGGUGUGAAAUUUCGGAGCUUAACUCCGAAACUGCAUUCGAUACUGCCGUGCUUGAGGACUGGAGAGGAGACUGGAAUUUACGGUGUAGCGGUGAAAUGCGUAGAUAUCGUAAGGAAGACCAGUGGCGAAGGCGGGUCUCUGGACAGUUCCUGACGCUGAGACGCGAAAGCGUGGGGAGCGAACAGG
rnacentral:rRNA from 1 species